rnacentral:tRNA from 1 species
GGAAAAGUAGCUCAGUAGGUAGAGCAGUGGAGACACCACUUCGCGGGGCGAUGGUUCAAGUCCAUCCUUUUCCACCA